rnacentral:rRNA from 1 species
GACGAACGCUGGCGGCGUGCUUAACACAUGCAAGUCGAACGGAAAGGCCCUGCUUUUGUGGGGUGCUCGAGUGGCGAACGGGUGAGUAACACGUGAGUAACCUGCCCUUGACUUUGGGAUAACUUCAGGAAACUGGGGCUAAUACCGGAUAGGAGCUCCUGCUGCAUGGUGGGGGUUGGAAAGUUUCGGCGGUUGGGGAUGGACUCGCGGCUUAUCAGCUUGUUGGUGGGGUAGUGGCUUACCAAGGCUUUGACGGGUAGCCGGGCUGAGAGGGUGACCGGCCACAUUGGGACUGAGAUACGGCCCAGACUCCUACGGGAGGCAGCAGUGGGGAAUAUUGCACUAUGGGCGGAAGCCUGAUGCAGCAACGCCGCGUGCGGGAUGACGGCCUUCGGGUUGUAAACCGCUUUCGCCUGUGACGAAGCGUGAGUGACGGUAAUGGGUAAAGAAGCACCGGCUAACUACGUG